rnacentral:rRNA from 1 species
CCCUUAGAUGUUCUGGGCAGCACGCGCGCUACAAUGGUCUUCGCAAACGGAUGCAUUCUCGAAGGAGAAUGCCAAUCUUGGAAUCUAUGCCUUGGUCGGGACAGUUGCUUGCAAUUUUUCGACUCGAACCAGGAAUUCCUUGUAAUCGUGAUUCGUCACAUCACGAUGAAUACGUCCCUGCCCUUUGUACACACCGCCCGUCGCUCCUACCGAUCGAGGAGUUAGGUGAAUUGUUUUGAUCGAUAAGAUUUGACUAUGGUCAACUCUCGUUGUGAAAUUCUGUGAAUCUGACUGUUUAGAGGAAGGAAAAGUCGUAACA